rnacentral:tRNA from 1 species
GCGCCAUUUGUUUAGUGGUUAGAAUAUUCGCUUCCCAUCUUGUCUUGGAUCAGCGAGGGACCCGAGUUCGAAUCUCGGAUGGCGCA